CUUCGGAUGCUGACGAGUGGCGAACGGGUGAGUAAUACAUCGGAACGUGCCCGAGAGUGGGGGAUAACGAAGCGAAAGCUUUGCUAAUACCGCAUACGAUCUCAGGAUGAAAGCAGGGGACCGCAAGGCCUUGCGCUCACGGAGCGGCCGAUGGCAGAUUAGGUAGUUGGUGGGAUAAAAGCUUACCAAGCCGACGAUCUGUAGCUGGUCUGAGAGGACGACCAGCCACACUGGGACUGAGACACGGCCCAGACUCCUACGGGAGGCAGCAGUGGGGAAUUUUGGACAAUGGGCGCAAGCCUGAUCCAGCCAUGCCGCGUGCAGGAUGAAGGCCUUCGGGUUGUAAACUGCUUUUGUACGGAACGAAAAGACUCUGGUUAAUACCUGGGGUCCAUGACGGUACCGUAAGAAUAAGCACCGGCUAACUACGUGCCAGCAGCCGCGGUAAUACGUAGGGUGCGAGCGUUAAUCGGAAUUACUGGGCGUAAAGCGUGCGCAGGCGGUUAUGUAAGACAGAUGUGAAAUCCCCGGGCUCAACCUGGGAACUGCAUUUGUGACUGCAUAGCUAGAGUACGGCAGAGGGGGAUGGAAUUCCGCGUGUAGCAGUGAAAUGCGUAGAUAUGCGGAGGAACACCGAUGGCGAAGGCAAUCCCCUGGGCCUGUACUGACGCUCAUGCACG
rnacentral:rRNA from 1 species